GGAGGGGUGCCUCGAGUGGUUUAUGGGCCAGGUCUCGAAAACCUCGGGGAGGCUUCGCUUCCACAUGGGUUCGAAUCCCAUCCCCUCCG
rnacentral:tRNA from 1 species